GGCAGUGUAGUGAAGUGGAAACACAGUAAGUUGCAACCCUACAAUCACUGGUUCAAAUCCAGUUACUGCCU
rnacentral:tRNA from 2 species